AGCGGCGGACGGGUGAGUAAUGCAUAGGAAACUGCCCAGUAGUGGGGGAUAGCCCGGGGAAACCCGGAUUAAUACCGCAUACGCCCUUUGGGGGAAAGCAGGGGAUCUUCGGACCUUGCGCUAUUGGAUGUGCCUAUGUCGGAUUAGCUAGUUGGUGGGGUAAGAGCCUACCAAGGCGACGAUCCGUAGCUGGUCUGAGAGGAUGAUCAGCCACAUCGGGACUGAGACACGGCCCGAACUCCUACGGGAGGCAGCAGUGGGGAAUAUUGGACAAUGGGGGCAACCCUGAUCCAGCCAUGCCGCGUGUGUGAAGAAGGCUUUCGGGUUGUAAAGCACUUUCAGUGAGGAGGAAAACCUGACGACUAAUACUCGUGAGGCUUGACGUUACUCACAGAAGAAGCACCGGCUAACUCCGUGCCAGCAGCCGCGGUAAUACGGAGGGUGCAAGCGUUAAUCGGAAUUACUGGGCGUAAAGCGCGCGUAGGUGGUUUGAUAAGCGAGAUGUGAAAGCCCCGGGCUCAACCUGGGAACGGCAUUUCGAACUGUCACGCUAGAGUAUGGUAGAGGAGUGUGGAAUUUCCUGUGUAGCGGUGAAAUGCGUAGAUAUAGGAGGACACCAGUGGCGAAGCGGCACUCUGGAACAUACUGACACUGAGGUGCGAAGCGUUGGGAGCAACAGGGAAUAGAUACCCCUGUAGCCCACGCCGA
rnacentral:rRNA from 1 species